AAGUGUGUUUAGUUAACUUGUAGCCAAGCUAGCUGAGAUGCUAAUAUGCUUCUGGCUCUUUUCCUGCGGUUUAAUAAAAUGUUUAUUUAACGGAGACAAACAUGUGACGGUUCAGGGCUCAAGUCAAGUCUGUUAAGAACUAGUUUAAAAACACCAGCUUCAGUUUUUACCUCUAAAAAAGGACAAAUUCAGGGAGUGACAUGAUGAACCCUAACGUCCUGGAGUCCGACGUUAAAAUCUAAGUCUGUGUGUCCUGUAGACGACGCCUGAGGGGGACGUCAUGGACAAACCGAGGCAGGUGUGUCGUCCUCAGAGGAUCAUUGAAUCGUCCAAGGUUUUCCUCUGGGGGGACCAGGCCGCUGAGGUCCUGCAGGGCCUGAACCAGCAGCGUCUGGACGGACGGUUGUGCGACGUGGUGCUGGUGGCCGAGGACCAGCGGACCCCCGCCCACCGGGCCCUGCUGGCCGGGUCCAGCCCGUACUUCCACGCCAUGUUCACCCUGGGCAUGAGGGAGGAGCACCAGCAGGAGGUGGAGCUGGUCGGAGUUUCUUUCAUUGGACUCAAGGCUGUGCUGGACUUCCUGUACAGCGGAGAGAUGCCACUGGACGGAGGAAACAUCUACGACGUCCUGGAGGCAGCUCACCUGCUCCAGGUGUGGCGGGUGGUGGAUUUCUGCUGCCAGUACCUGGAGGAGGAGGUGAACGAGGAGACGUACCUGCACCUUCAGGACGUGGCUCAGCUCUACAGUCUGGAGCGACUGGACGCCUUCAUCGACUCCUUCAUCCUCAACCACUUCAUCAGCCUCUCGCUCACGGCCGAGUUCAUACGACACAUCACUCACAGGAAGAUGGACUCGUACCUGGGGAGUGGACAGGUGCAGCACGAUGGGGAGCAGAGCCUCCUCCAGGCCGCCCUCCAGUGGCUCAGCCGGACGCCCGACCGGACCCCCCACGCCCUCCAGCUCCUGUCCCACAUCCGCUUCCCCCUGAUGGGGGUGGAGGAGCUGGAGGCCCGGGCCCUGCCGGCGGUCCGGGCCCUGCUCCCUGAGGAGGAGGCCUGCAGGGCCCUGGUGGAGGAGGCGCUGGGGUACCACGCCCAGCUCAGCGCACAGCCCCUCCUCCAGACGGGACGCACCCAGCUCAGGGGGGGGGUGGAGCAGCUGCUCCUCAUAGGAGGGGAGGUGUUUGAGCGCGGGGAGGAGCUCAGUGCGAACGUCUGCCGUCUGGACGGGGAGACCGGGAGGUGGGAGGUGGAGGCGGAGCUCCCGGCCCAGAGGAGCCACCACUGCCUGGCCGUCCUGGGGGGGUUCGUGUUCACGGCCGGGGGGAGUUCGUCCCGAGACAACGGAGGAGACUCGGCCUGUAACCUGCUGUACAGAUACGACCCCCGACACAACCACUGGACCAGGGGCGCCUCCAUGAACCAGAGGAGGGUGGACUUCUAUCUGGGGGCGGUGGGCGACCGUCUGAUCGCUGUGGGGGGGAGGAACGACACCGGAGCCCUGUCCUCGGUGGAGGUCUAUCGUCCCGCUGAGGACAGGUGGACGUACGCGGCAGAACUGCCCCGGUUUACUUACGGUCACGCUGGGACCAUCCACCGCGGCGUCGUCUACAUCUCCGGGGGCCACGACUACCAGAUCGGGCCGUACCGCCGGGACGUGCUGAGCUACGACCCGUCGGCAGAGGGCGACGCGUGGACGCCGCGCCCGCCCAUGUCCCUGGCCCGGGGCUGGCACUGCAUGGCGUCGCUCGGCCACCUCAUCUACGCCGUGGGGGGCAGCGACGACCACGAGGACACCACCGAGCGCUUCGACAUCCUGCAGGUGGAGUCCUGCGACCCUCGCUCCGGACACUGGACGCGGGUGGCGCCGCUGCUGCUGCCCAACAGCGAGGCGGGGCUGGCGGUCUGGUCGGGCAGGAUCUACGUGCUGGGGGGGUACAGCUGGGAGUGCAUGGCGUUCUCCAGAGCCACGCAGGUCUACGACCCCGGCAAGGACUCCUGGACCAAAGGGCCCGACCUGCCCAGACGCAUCGCAGGGGCCUCGGCCUGCGUCUGCACCGUGAAGCCCUCCACGCCAGCUACGCCCAUUAGAGGGAGAGAAGAAGAAGGAGGAGGAGGAGGAGGGUGGAGGGCUGAAAGAAGACACCUCAUGUAACAACUCUCAGAACAAACAAACAAACUAGAAAACUCCUGAAACAAUCUGCUUUGAGGAAGGAGAAGAGUAACAUGGAUGGAAAACUUGAAUAAAAAGAGGAGAAUACUCGGCUAAAAAUAAGAAAAACAUUUAACACAUUCUGUCUCCUUUGAGGAUGUUGGGAUCUCACUGUCCUGUUUUUGCACAGUCAUGCUCAGACCUUUAUCUCUCUGCAGCCCUGUUACUCUGAGGACGGACGGAAGCCUAAAGGGCUCAGUUCCAACCUGAGAGACUCAGAAGUUGCACAAACUGCUGCAGUUGAGUAAUUUACCUCCGAACACUUCCUUCAUUUCCACGUUGCACAAGGACGAACGCCUGCAGAUGAAGAAGCUGAAACAUCUUAGUUUUUGUCUGUUGUGUCGUCUGUUAAAGACCAGAAACGUCGACUUAAAUUAUGUUUUUUAUUUGGACAAACACCAAAGCGCAGACUUUCAUUUCAUUUGUUUCACAUUCGUUCUGUAUAUUAAUAAAAGGUUGUUUCACUGGUUUAACUGUACAUUUGUUAAGUUCCGCUUUUCAAUUAAAAAAAAUGAAAACA